rnacentral:rRNA from 1 species
UACGUAGGGUGCGAGCGUUGUCCGGAAUUAUUGGGCGUAAAGGGCUCGUAGGCGGUUUGUCGCGUCGGGAGUGAAAACCUUGGGGCUUAACUCAGGGCUUGCUUUCGAUACGGGCAGACUAGAGGUAUGCAGGGGGAGAACGGAAUUCCUGGUGUAGCGGUGAAAAUGCGCAGAUAUCAGGAGGAACACCGGUGGCGAAGGCGGGUUCU